UACGUAGGUGGCAAGCGUUAUCCGGAUUUACUGGGUGUAAAGGGCGUGUAGGCGGGAGAGCAAGUCAGACGUGAAAUUCCAGGGCUCAACCCUGGAACUGCGUUUGAAACUGUUCUUCUUGAGUGAUGGAGAGGCAGGCGGAAUUCCGCGUGUAGCGGUGAAAUGCGUAGAUAUACGGAGGAACACCAGUGGCGAAGGCGGCCUGCUGGACAUUAACUGACGCUGAGGCGCGAAAGCGUGGGGAGCAAACAGG
rnacentral:rRNA from 1 species